UUAAUUUAAGUGCUAAAAACUUGAAGUGCUGAAUUUUAGUACUUAUAUGCAUAUUGAAAGAUCUGUUUGGUAAUUUGUCUGAAAAAGGUCCUGAUAUAGGAAAAUAAGCCACCCCCCCACAAAAACUUGUUUGGUAAACACAAAUCACAAAUGUAUGAAAAUUGGCAAUUUGUAAUAUUUGCCCCUAUUGUCUCAAUUUCUAUAUUUUGUAGAGUAUAAGACAAAACCUAUUAUUGCUAUGCCAUCAAAAUUGGCACCUAUGCCCUAACCAAUAAAUUUUUUUGAGAUUUUAUCCAAUAAAAUUUUAAUACUUUCCCCACCAAAUAAGGCCAAGUAGAUGAACGGUCUGGAUCUUUUUUGUUUGCCACGUGCAGUAACAUGAAUUGAUAUUGGUUGGAUGAUUUUAAUCCAUCAACUUUGCCCAUUGAUAUUGUACCCUAACCAAUUUAGUUUUGGCCAUCCAUUUGACACCCACAAAUUGAAUUGUUAGAUCUCUAGAUGACCUUGAUUUUGAGGCUAUGAUCCAUUUACAACGGGAUCCAUAGCUUAGGUGGUUUGGACAAACAUCCAUCUAUGUAAUGCAAUGUGUAUGAUAGAUGAGUCGCCACCAUUUUAAACAUCGUGACAAAUUCUCAUAGUCUUCAACGAACGCGGAUUAGCUACUACCUUGAAUCCAACUAGGUGGUGUGACCCUAAUUGCGGGGCCCAUCUCAAUGUAUGUGUUGUAUAUCCACGUCGUCCAUCUGUUUGCUAGCUCAUUUUAGGGUGUGGGCCCAAAAAUGAACCAGAUCCAAAUCUCAGGUGGACCACACCACAAGAAGAAAUGGUGACUGACCAUUAAUUUUUUUUCUUGUGGGCCACAAAAAGUUUUGGAUGAAGCUAAUAUUUGUGUUUUCCCUUCAACCAGGUCUAUGUGACCUCAUCAACAUGUUGGAUGGAAAAUAAACAGUACGGUGAACCCUAUGAAGUUUUUGAUGGUGGGCAUUCAAUGACCGUUGUGUCCUGUGGUGUGGUCCACUUGAGAUUUGCAUCUGCUUCAUUUUUUGGACCAUGCGCUAAAAUAAACUCGAAAAAUAAAUGGAUGACAUGGAUAUACAACACAUACAUCGAGACGGGCCCUGCAGUCAGGUUCGCAUCCACCCAGUUGGAUUGGGGUCGUAGUGAAUUUAUGUUCUUGUUCAACAUGGGAGCAUAUUAGGUGUUACCCAGUAACACGCGAGUGGGUGUUGCCUUGUGGGACCCACCUUGAUUGUAUAUCCACGUUGUUACAACUCUUUUUAUGCCAUGGUCCCCAAAAUGAUGCAGAUCCAAAUCUAUAGUGGACCAAACAAUGGGAUUGAAUACCCACCAUUAAAAACUUUUUGUGGGCCACAAAAGUUUUGGAUCAAUCUAAUAUUUGUUGUUCCAUUCAUCCACAAGUGUGUGACCUUAUCAACAGGUUGGAUGGCAAAUAAACAUUACUGUGGGCCCUAGGAAGUUUUUAAUGGUGGGCGUUCAUGAUCACUGUUUCAUGUGGUGUGGUCCACUUGAGAUUUGGAUCUGCUUCACUUUUGGGACCAUGGCCUAAAAUGAGUUAUAAAAACUAAUGGACGGUGUGGAUAUACAACACACAUCAAGGUGGGCCCCAUGGUCAGGGCAACACCCACUAAUGUGUUACCCGGGUAAAACCUAACUGGUUCCACUUCAACCACCGGUUUUGGUGGACUUGGAUUGCUUGGUGUAGAACAAUAACCUAGGUUGGUGUCGUGUAGGCGUGGCAAAGUUCUAUGGAUCAUUUGUGCGACCAUGCCCUAAAAGGAAUUGGCAAAACAGAUGGACAACAUAGAUUUGCAACGCAUACAUCGAGGUGGGCCCCUCGUUCAAGGCCUCACCCAGUAGUGUAGCACAAACCACAAAGUUGAUGUGGCAAAGUUUUGUGGGCCCUGCCUUGAUGUAUGUGUUAUAUUCACAUCAUCCAUCCAUUUUUCUAGAUUAUUUUAGGGCAUGAGUCCAAAAAUGAGGCAAAUCCAAAGCUCAAGUGGAUCACACCACAAAAAAUAGUGGGGAUUGAACACCGACCAUUGAAAACUUCAUAGGGGCCACAAAAGUUUUGGGUCAAGCUGAUAUUUGUGUUUUCCCUUCAUCUAGGUCUGUGUGACCCUAUGAAUAGGUUGGAUGGCAAAUAAACAUCAUGGUGGGCCUUAGGAAGGUUUCAAUGGUGGGCGUCAUUGUCUCCACUGCUUUCCGUGGUGUAGUCCAUUUGAGCUUUGGAUCUGCCUCAUAUUUGGCCUCAUGCCCUAAAAUUACCUAGCAAAAUGGGUGGACCAUGUGGAUGUAACAAAUACAUCAUAGUGGGGCCCACAAAACUCUGCCAUGUCAACACUACAUAAUCCGAGUCCCACCUAAUUCGGGCCCUAAAAAAAUUGUACAUGAGGAAUGUAUUAAUUCAAAAUUAAUUAGUUAGGUUAUAGACCAUUGUUGUUAAAUCACAAUCCCAAAAUCAAAUUACUACAAGUCUCUAGAGUCAAAACGUUGAAAUGAAAUGUAUGCAAGUUGCGUGGUAUGUAAUACACAAAUAUUGUAAAUAAUAGUAAAACCUACAAAUGCGAUAUGUUUUGGUAGUACGUUUAUCCUAAUAAAUUUCAUAUUAAUAUUAUAUAGUUAGAAAAUUAAAUAUAUAAAGUUGGUAGUCAAUCCUAGGUUGCUAGGUUCAUAAAUUCAUCAGACAUCUCGAUACAACAUUCUCCCCAAAGACUGGUCUGUUACACUACUAUGAACGAGGGCGACUAGGGGAAAGGCUAGACGAUUGAAUCUCCUCCUCCUCUGCUACAGGUCAAAGGUCUCCCUGUUUAAAAUUAUAAAUGAAUGCAUAUUUAGAACAUUUACAAUUUUCUAGAUUUUUUGGAGCAACAAAAAAAAUAAAAAAAAUCAACUGAUACAGGGGCAUAUCAGCCGUUACACCAGUUCAGUGUAUCGGUAACAGUGGGCACUGUUACCACUAUGGAACGCCUUGCACAGGACUUUGUGACGUCAACAUGGAAUGCUUUCAAACCUUGAACGGGAGUCACUUAGAAAAGGGUGAAGGUGUCAUUUAGAAAAAAAAUUAAGGAUAUUUUAUCAAAAUAACCAAAAAUUUUAAUGCAAAAUCACUUACUGCAUUCUGUGUUAAGUCAAGGGAGGAAAGCUUUUAAAAAACCAUUUUUUCAUUGAAAUUCUAAAUUAAGCACUUAAUUUUUUGGAGUUAAAAGCCCAGCCCCACAUGCCAUUGUCUCUCAUUAGCUAGAUUUCUUUUUAUUCGUAGUUGGUUCUAAGGGCGGCAUAAUUGGAGUGGGUUAUAGUUAAAUUACGUAACAGGCACGUGCAAAGUUGUCCACCUAAAUCGAAAUACCUGUGUUACUGAAAUAGAACAAUAAAACUACAUAUGGUCAUGGUUCAUUUUCUAUGGACUUUGCUUUACUUUAGGUUCGUCAGGAAGUUUUUCUCUCUGCAUCAAUUAUUUAUUUAUU